GGGGAGGGGACCUGCAGGCUCACACCUGGAGCAGCCCCGUCACUCCGGAGCUGGGACGCGGGAGGGGAACUGUGAGCACGUGACUGUCUUGCCCUGGUCGUUCUCUCUUGACAGCCGUUGGCUUAGGUGGCGCCGGAACUCCAACUGAAGCUGAAAAAGGUUGUGCUCCGACACGGGUAAGGACUUCCCAGUGGGCUUCCCUGCAGGGUUCCAGCGGAGAAGGGGAGAUUGGAGGUGGCAGAGCUCGCAGUUUUGGAGCUAAGCUUGGGAAACGAUGCAGGUGCUCAGCAUGGAGCCCAACAGAUAUGCGCCCUUCUGUGGUGAGGUCUUCUGUCUGAUGGGAAGAUGGACACAAACAAGUGAACCAGCGUCUGCCUAAGUCAUUCCGGAGUGAAGUGCUUCCUGCAUACGCACCCGGCAUAGGACUCCGGAGUCACGUGGUGGAGGGGACGACAGGUGACCUGAGACCUGAAGACCGGAAGGAGCCCCGGGGUGGGGAUGGGUGUCCCAGGAAGCCCAGGAGUGUGAGCGAGAGCCCUGAAGCCUGGCCCAGGUGGGUCUGUCGGGGACACAAGAGGAAGCCCAGCGAGCCUGGCUGGAGCGAGGAGCCUGCAUUGUCUUCUGAUCACCGGAGAGGGUUGCUGUGGGAGUGAAGUAACGUGAUGAUGCGAGCAAGAAACCCCUCGGGCCCCUCGGGCGAGAAGAGUGGACAGCGAGGCAGAAGUGGUGAGAGAGACUGGGCAGGAGGCAAUGGUGGGACCAGGCGAGAGGUGCUGGGGCUUGAACGAGGCUGGUGGCCGUGGAGACCAGAGAAGUGGACCUGUGUGAGACCUAUUCUGGCGGGGCAAGGCGGUGUUGAUGGGACUUAGUGAAGCAGCAGCAGAUGGGAGGGGUGGGAGGCAGGAGGAAUGGAGCGGGGCUCUGGGCUUCUAGCUGGGUCGGGGAUGGGGGUUGAGGAUGGCCACAAAUGUCUGCUCCUAUGUUGAGAGUCGGAGGCUGUUCCCCUCCCCCCAAGUCUGGGCAGCCUCAGGGACAUUUGGACCUAUAGGCUACCCCGUGACUUAUACUGUUUCCAGCUCCGACGGGAUGAGAGAGAAGGGAAGGAGCCUGGGGACGCUCCCAUGUUAGAAGCCAGACAGAGAGGAGGAAUGGUACAGUGGACUGAGCAGGUGUGGCCAGGGAUGGAGGCGGAAAGCCAGGUAGGAGAGAUCAGGCAGCCAGGAGGAGAGAGUGUUUCAAGACGGGGGGCGCGGGGGAGAGGUGACCCGUGUGCAAUGCUACCCAAUUUUUCGAAUGAGCUGAGCACAGAGAUAUGUCCACUAGGUUCGGCAACAGGGACUUUGGGCGACCUUGCUGAGAACAGUCGUAGUGGAGGAGGGAGGCUGGAAGCUGGAUUGGAAUGGCACAUGGGAGCCAGUGAAUUGGAGAGAACAAUCAUAGGCAACUUUUCAGAAAGUUUUAAUGCAAAGGGAAGCGGAGAACUGGAGUGUUGGCUGGAAGGGAAUGCGAGGGCCACAGGAGGGUUCCGUCCAACUUUGGAGGAUACAAACCGAGUCUGCGCUGAGGGCACUGACUGCUAGGAGGGAAGGACCUGGUGAUACAGAGCAAAGGCACUACCCCAGAGCAAAGUCCCUGAUAAAGUCAGGGGGUCGGCAGGGGGACCCAGAGUGCAAAUGACAGAGCUGGCUUUGAAAAGAGCAGGGACAGACAAUGACUCUAGAGGCCGAACAGAAGGGGAGAUGGGUUUGUAGAUUUUGCUGUACAAAGACCAGGGAAGCUCCUCUGAUGGUUUCCGUUUUUUCAGUGGAGUGGGAGCAGGUCACUGCCACAGCGAGAGAGGCACAGAGGACUGGGUGAGGACCAUGGGUUAGGUGUGAAAUCACGGUCACGACCAAGGCCACCGGAGAAACAGAGUGGGGUUUUCAGCUGUACAGAGUGACCAUUCAGAGUUACUGCCCAUGAACUUGUGAUGUCCCUGGCUUGCCAGUCUGUUCUCUGUCAUACGUAGCAGGUGCCGAGCACAAGUCCUUCCCCCAAGUAAUCCAAUGAUCUCAACUGACAGUUGGGAAAGCCAAGACUCAGAAAGACUUUCUGGUUCCCCCACGCAGUUGCUGGGGGCUGAACAGGACCUCCAGCCCAAGCCUGCGCACACGCCUCUGCCCAGGCCAAAUUUGUGCAAGGGCUAAGUUGACUUUCCUACCUGGUAGUGUUUGUGGAUUUCAGGGGUCAGGGCAAGUGGGAAAAUGCUGAACAGAGAAACGCAGCUCUCCCUUUUGUGUGAUAUUUCUGCAUCACUGGUGUUGGGGCCAGUUGGGUAUAAAAGGUCUCUGGGUGCUGCUUCCUUGCAAAGUCUGGGCGCUGAGUAGUGGCACCAUUUGCCGUCUUCACCCACAUCUACAGGGCUAGCUUCCUGCAAACACUGGGCCAGGAGUACUGGGAUAUUCAGGGUUAGCAGUUGCCCCCCCCCACCAUGUUAAUUAUCUCUCCUCCUUCAAUUCUGCAUCCCUUUCAGUAAAGAAGACUCCCCCCGGGGCGCAUAGGAAGCUUGGUGAGAUCAUCAGUGAACAUCUCUGAAGGCUGGUCCAAGCUUGGAAUGCCUGUUUACAGAAACACGUCCGCAAUUCACUUGAUGUUUCCGGGAAGUCCUGAUCUUCUCACCCGGGAAUGUUAAUAAAAGGGUCUUGAAAAGUACAAGAGGCUCUCCCAUGGUUGCCAGCACAUUUUAGACUUGGCCUUUCCAUCCCCCAGCAGAAAAUGAUAAAAGCCCAACAGAGGGGUGAAUUCCAAUCCCGUAGGAAGAGUCACUGUUAAGAGCUGGGUCCCUAAGGGGAAAUACUGGGAUAUGACCUUACUGGUCUUGAUGGGCUGAAUGAGGCCCCAAGAACGAUAUGUCUGUGUCCUAAUCCCUGGGACCGACAAAUGUUACUUUAUUUGGAAGAAGAGUCCUUGUAGAAGCGAUUAUCUUGAAAUGAGAUCAUCCUUGAUAUCGGGGUGGGCCGUGAAUCCCCUGGCCAGGGUCCCUACAAAAAACACAGAGGGUCACAGAAGAGGAGGGAGGCCACGUGAGCGCAGGUGCAGCGAUCGGGGUGAUCUGACCAAGGAACCCCUGGGACCUCCAGAAGCUGGAGGAGGCCAGAAGCGUUUUCUCCCCGAUAGCCUCUAGAGGGAGAAAGCACUUGUGGAAACCUCCAGAAUGGUCAGAAAAUCAGUUUUUCUCAUUUCUGAAGCUGGUGCAGCAGUCCUAGGAAACAAAUAUGGGUGCCUCCCAUUUCAAGGAUCUGCGGGGUCUGAGAUCUGUGAGUCCCCUGGAAUUUGCCAGAUUCAGGGCUGGAUGCAGAUCGAACCAGAACAAAGCAGCUUAUCAUGGCAGAAAUAGCCCAGACUGGCUCAGAUCAAGUCAACUCCCCUUGAAGUGGUUCAGACCUUCAUCGGCGGCCCGGCCCGAGAGCCUGACACCGAGCUUCAGAGCCCAGACUCAGGAGCCAGAAACAAAAGGUUCAAACCCUGCCUCUGUCUCUCCGGAACCCUGAAACCUGAGGCCGGUGCCUUAAGCUCUCUGCGCCUCGGUUUCCCCCGGUUUAAAAUGAGGACACAGUCUCUACCUAUGGGGCAGAAGUGAGGAUUCUAUGACUUCAUAUAUGGAAAGCACUUGGAGUCCACAAUGCUGGCAUGUCACCCGCACAAGAUCAGGGGUUGAUCUUAUUAAACGAACUGGAACCCAAACAGCCAUAAAGGAGUUCAGGAUAGCUGAGGAGACACCGAUGCACUGAAACCGACAUAAAGUGAGUCAAAUCGGUUAAAACUAGGUGGCGCUAUUGUAAACCUGCUUAAACCUUUUGGGCGGACCGGUACCAGGUCACACUAAUCCCUCGGGGCUAGAACAGGUCUGGAUCCCGCACGCACGUGCUCACUCACCCAGCAGGUCUCUGCUAUCUGUGUGUGUCAACUUGGACAGAAACCAACGGCCCCACGUGUCUCCAGGAGAAAGUGACAUCCAGGCAGAGGGCUGUGGAAGGGAUUCCAUGCCUGAUAUGGACCAUGACAUGGUCUCCGGUCAGAAACACAGUCAACAUCUCCUAAAAGGAACACCUUUCUUAGGUCAGGUCAGGGCUCAACUAUCACGAACCUAUCUCACGCUAAUUAGACAAGAGACGGAUAUGUUGCUCCAGGAUCUUGGGGGAUCUCCUGGAACUCAGGGACAAGAAGUGUAGCAGAAGCUCCUGGGGAUCUGGAAGUUUGCCAGAACCCGAGACCCCCCCCCUCUGGCUCUGGUGCAGGGAGGGCAAGCAAGUCCUUAAGGCCGACAGCUCAGUGAGCAAGCAGGAUGAGUGAGAAGCCAAGACCUCCAAGAAGAAGCCCUUGGCUCUGCCAGUCACUCAGCUCGGAACCGGGGCAAUCUGUGCACACCACUGCCCCCUGGUGGCCGAUCUGAGAAUUCUCCAUGAAUAGCCUCAGGUGUCCAGUGGAGGCAGAGGGAAUCCGGGAACUGAAGGUGAGGAGGAAGUUGAGUGGCAUCGCAGAGGUCUCAAAACCCAUGAAAUCCUGGUCUGAGAAUGUCUGAGUCCAACAGGCCCUCAGAGGCCAUGUGGCCUGAGCUCUUCAUGAUGUACGGGGAAAUCAAAUCUCAGUAAGGGUGCUGCCAGGGGGUAGAGAUCACCGGACUUGGUGUAAAAUUCAAAAAGCCCAGGAAAUCCCAAGUAGGAUAAAUUCUUUUUUUUUUUUUUAAGAUUUUAUUUAUUUAUUUGCCAGAGAGAGAGAGAAAGGGAGCGAG